GUUCAGGUCCUUCUUAGCAGCGGAUUAGUUUGACACCUGCACAGCUGCAUCCCGAGGGCUUUUCAUCUCUUCUAUUUUCAUUUAUGAGGACCCUGGAUUUGAGUGGCAGAAGUCCAAUUCUGAUGUCAACUCUUCAACUUCACCACUUAACAAGUUGAAUGACCUUAGGAAAGUAACUUCACCUUUCUGAACUUCAGUCUCCUCAUCUGUAAAUUGGCAAUGAAACUCGGACUACUCCCAUCUGCCUCAGCUCAGAGCCAAUACUUCCUGCCAGUCGUGGAUUGAACUUCGGGGACAGAAGAGCUGCUAAGAAAACCUAUUCCUAAAACCAGAGCUCUCCAGAGGUCAGGAAUGGCACCAGCCUUAUUAUGAUCUGUUUGUUACGCACUUUGUUGUAAAUUACUGUUCCUCAGGUGUCAUACUCACAAGGAGACAUGUGAGAAAGAACCUCUCCUUUGAACCUCUCUCAUGCUGCCAGUACAAGCAUUUAUAAAUGCUGUUUAUAUAUGCACUCCCCUAUCUUUAGAAAGGAGUAGCUCCCAGAGAUUAUGGGCCUUGUUUAAGGUCACUUGGUGACCUCAGAGUGCUACUGGGAACAGAAUUCAUCCCCCACUCUCAUGGAUUCCUUUCUCCUCAUUAUCAACCAUUUUUUCUCUAUUGAGCAACAGAAAGUAGAAUAUAUAUCAGCAUUUCCCCAAGGGAGGUUUUAAGUUUCAUAUUCCCUUUUGGGAAAUUGAGUUGACCUUCCUCUUCUCCACUAUGCCUAUUUCACUAAAGUCCUUGGUAGAUUUCUUUUUUAUUAUUAUAAAACUCUUUAGUCUUUGUGCCUAUUGAAAAUUAUUAUGGACUAAAUGAAUUUGUAUUUGUACAAAGUAAAACUAAAUUCUAUAGCUCAAGUGAUAAAUGGGAUUUGAAAGCAGAUAGUUUCAGAUUGAUUUCAUUAACCCACAUUUACGAUCCCCAUUUCCAUAGCUUUUUGUCACUACCAAGUCACAUGCAGCUAUGGAAAAUUAGUGUGUACAUCCCAUGAAAAAAGUGGAGAGGCAAGUGGCCCUAGUUAUUUGAAGCUAGGAGGCUCCUUAGUAUUGCAGUGAAUAUUU